UACGGGGGGGGUAAGCGUUGUUCGGAAUUACUGGGCGUAAAGGGCCCGUAGGCGGCCAACUAAGUCGGACGUGAAAUCCCUCAGCUUAACUGGGGAACUGCGUCCGAUACUGGAUGGCUUGGAUUUGGGAGAGGGAUGCGGAAUUCCAGGUGUAGCAGUGAAAUGCGUAGAGAUGUGGAGGAAUACCGAUGGCGAAGGCAGCCCCCUGGGCCAACACUGACGCUCAUGCACGAAAGCGUGGGGAGCAAACAGG
rnacentral:rRNA from 1 species